rnacentral:lncRNA from 1 species
CGUGCACUGCAGCAGCACCAGGACUUGACAGCCCUAUGGCUCGAUCAGCUUUCUGUUUUCAUUGCCUUAUGAUGCCAUGAGUGGAACUACUGGAAAAUCAGAGUUCACACCCCAGCUUUUCAGUCUUUCCCCUAAUUCUUGCUCUAUCAGAGGUCGAGGACAACAGUAUAAUGAUUCAUAGGCUCUACUUCCUGGCAAGUAAUCAUUUUCCCACGGGCCCUUUUUAUUUGAUGAAUAUGGAGGCACUAAGAAGCAGAAAUAGAACUGAGAAGAAUGAAAUAACUGUCUCUACCUUUCUCGAAUUGUCUGAUAUGGAAGGAAUGAAAGACAGCUAAUAAGCAACUCUCUGCAAGAAGACAUAUGGCUUAGGUUCUGCUGAGCUAUUGGUGAUUUGAUUCCAUGCAUAUGUAUUAACUACUGAGAUGGGAUCUUGCUAUGUUGCCCAGGCUGGCCUCAAACUCCUG